AAAACUCCGGUGGUAUGAGAUGGACCCGCGUCUGAUUAGGUAGUUGGUGGGGUAACGGCCUACCAAGCCAACGAUCAGUAGCCGACCUGAGAGGGUGACCGGCCACAUUGGGACUGAGACACGGCCCAAACUCCUACGGGAGGCAGCAGUGGGGAAUAUUGCACAAUGGGGGAAACCCUGAUGCAGCGACGCCGCGUGAGCGAAGAAGUAUUUCGGUAUGUAAAGCUCUAUCAGCAGGGAAGAAAAUGACGGUACCUGACUAAGAAGCACCGGCUAAAUACGUGCCAGCAGCCGCGGUAAUACGUAUGGUGCAAGCGUUAUCCGGAUUUACUGGGUGUAAAGGGAGCGUAGACGGCUGUGUAAGUCUGAAGUGAAAGCCUGGGGCUCAACCCCGGGACUGCUUUGGAAACUAUGCAGCUAGAGUGUCGGAGAGGUAAGUGGAAUUCCCAGUGUAGCGGUGAAAUGCGUAGAUAUUGGGAGGACACCAGUGGCGAAGGC
rnacentral:rRNA from 1 species